rnacentral:rRNA from 1 species
UACGAAGGGGGCUAGCGUUGCUCGGAAUCACUGGGCGUAAAGCGCACGUAGGCGGAUUGUUAAGUCAGGGGUGAAAUCCUGGAGCUCAACUCCAGAACUGCCUUUGAUACUGGCGAUCUCGAGUCCGGGAGAGGUGAGUGGAACUGCGAGUGUAGAGGUGAAAUUCGUAGAUAUUCGCAAGAACACCAGUGGCGAAGGCGGCUCACUGGCCCGAUACUGACGCUGAGGCACGAAAGCGUGGGGAGCAAACAGG